AGCGAACGCUGGCGGCAGGCUUAACACAUGCAAGUCGAGCGGGCACUUUCGGGUGUCAGCGGCGGACGGGUGAGUAACGCGUGGGAACGUGCCCUCUGGUUCGGAAUAACUCAGGGAAACUUGAGCUAAUACCGGAUACGCCCUUUUGGGGAAAGGCUUGCUGCCGGAGGAUCGGCCCGCGUCUGAUUAGCUAGUUGGUGAGGUAACGGCUCACCAAGGCGACGAUCAGUAGCUGGUCUGAGAGGAUGAUCAGCCACACUGGGACUGAGACACGGCCUAGACUCCUACGGGAGGCAGCAGUGGGGAAUAUUGGACAAUGGGCGCAAGCCUGAUCCAGCCAUGCCGCGUGAGUGAUGAAGGCCUUAGGGUUGUAAAGCUCUUUUAUCCGGGACGAUAAUGACGGUACCGGAGGAAUAAGCCCCGGCUAACUUCGUG
rnacentral:rRNA from 1 species